rnacentral:lncRNA from 1 species
AUGAUGAUAUCUUCUUACAAGUUCGGCCAUGAAAAUACAAGUAAUGAUGCAGUGAAAGAAGAAUCAGGAAAAAUUAUGACUUGUUCUAGAAACGUUCUGCGCUUGCCAUGUUUUACGAAAAUAAAGCAGAGCUCUAUAGAUUCCUCCACAGAUAGAGAAACAAUUCUCAUAUCCACCCUACAAUCCCCCCUUUUUAUUGGGGUAUCAUUUAUGUAGAGUAAAAUGUACAAUUCAUAAGUGCUCAGCUCAAUGCCUUUUGAGAUAAGUGUAACUCCUUUCCAAAAUAAGAUUCAGAACACAGA